CGAACGGGUGAGUAACGCGUGAGGAACCUGCCUCAAAGAGGGGGACAACAGUUGGAAACGACUGCUAAUACCGCAUAAGCCCACGGCUCGGCAUCGAGCAGAGGGAAAAGGAACAAUCCGCUUUGAGAUGGCCUCGCGUCCGAUUAGCUAGUUGGUGAGGUAACGGCCCACCAAGGCGACGAUGCGUAGCCGACCUGAGAGGGUGACCGGCCACACUGGGACUGAGACACGGCCCAG
rnacentral:rRNA from 1 species